UACGAAGGGGGCUAGCGUUGCUCGGAAUCACUGGGCGUAAAGGGCUCGUAGGCGGCCAACUAAGUCAGACGUGAAAUCCCUCGGCUUAACCGGGGAACUGCAUCUGAUACUGGAUGGCUUGAGUUCGGGAGAGGGAUGCGGAAUUCCAGGUGUAGCGGUGAAAUGCGUAGAUAUCUGGAGGAACACCGGUGGCGAAGGCGGCAUCCUGGACCGACACUGACGCUGAGGAGCGAAAGCCAGGGGAGCAAACGGG
rnacentral:rRNA from 1 species